rnacentral:rRNA from 1 species
UACGUAGGGUGCGAGCGUUGUCCGGAAUUAUUGGGCGUAAAGAGCUCGUAGGCGGUCUGUCGCGUCUGCUGUGAAAACCCGAGGCUCAACCUCGGGCCUGCAGUGGGUACGGGCAGACUAGAGUCCGGAGGAGGAGAGUGGAAUUCCUGGUGUAGCGGUGAAAUGCGCAGAUAUCAGGAAGAACACCCGUGGCUAAGGCGGCUCUCUAGUACGGUACUGACGCUGAGACGCGAAAGCGUGGGGAGCGAACAGG